AUACGGAGGGUGCAAGCGUUGUUCGGAAUCACUGGGCGUAAAGGGCGCGCAGGCGGUUUGGUAAGUCAGAUGUGAAAGCCCACGGCUCAACCGUGGAAGUGCAUUUGAAACUGCCAGACUUGAGUACCAGAGGGGAAAGUGGGAUUCCCGGUGUAGAGGUGAAAUUCGUAGAUAUCGGGAGGAAUACCGGUGGCGAAGGCGACUUUCUGGCUGGAUACUGACGCUGAGGUGCGAAAGCGUGGGGAGCAAACAGGAUUAGAAACCCCAGUAGUCC
rnacentral:rRNA from 1 species